rnacentral:rRNA from 1 species
UACAGAGGGGGCGAGCGUUGUUCGGAAUUACUGGGCGUAAAGGGCGCGGUAGGCGGCCCCGGCUAAGUCGAACGUGAAAUCCCCAGGCUCAACCUGGGAACUGCGUCCGAUACUGGCAGGCUUGAAUCCGGGAGAGGGAUGUGGAAUUCCAGGUGUAGCGGUGAAAUGCGUAGAUAUCUGGAGGAACACUGGUGGCGAAGGCGGCAUCCUGGACCGGUAUUGACGCUGAGGCGCGAAAGCU